UACGUAGGGUGCGAGCGUUGUCCGGAAUUAUUGGGCGUAAAGAGCUCGUAGGCGGCUUGUCGCGUCGAAUGUGAAAUCUCAGGGCUCAACUCUGACAUUGCAUUCGAUACGGGCAGGCUAGAGUUCGGUAGGGGAGACUGGAAUUCCUGGUGUAGCGGUGAAAUGCGCAGAUAUCAGGAGGAACACCGAUGGCGAAGGCAGGUCUCUGGGCAUUAACUGACGCUGAGGAGCGAAAGCAUGGGGAGCGAACAGG
rnacentral:rRNA from 1 species